AACGAACGCUGGCGGCAUGCCUAACACAUGCAAGUCGAACGAGACCUUCGGGUCUAGUGGCGCACGGGUGCGUAACGCGUGGGAACCUGCCCUUAGGUUCGGAAUACCUCCCCGAAAGGGGUGCUAAUACCGGAUAAUGUCUUCGGACCAAAGAUUUAUCGCCUUUGGAUGGGCCCGCGUUGGAUUAGCUAGUUGGUAGGGUAAAAGCCUACCAAGGCGACGAUCCAUAGCUGGUCUGAGAGGAUGAUCAGCCACACUGGGACUGAGACACGGCCCAGACUCCUACGGGAGGCAGCAGUGGGGAAUAUUGGAGGAGGGGCGAAAGCCUGAUCAAGCCAUGCCGCGUGAGUGAUGAAGGCCUUAGGGAUGUAAAGCUCUUUUACCCGGGAUGAUAAUGACAGUACCGGGAGAAUAAGCUCCGGCUAACUCCGUG
rnacentral:rRNA from 1 species